rnacentral:tRNA from 1 species
GCCUUCGUGGUGUAAUGGUAGCCCACUCGCACGUAUUCGAGAAGUCCAGGUUCGAGUCCCGGCGAAGGCA